UCUUGGGCAAUGGGCGAAAGCCCGACCCAGCGACACUGCGUGGGGGAAGAAGGCCUUCGGGUCGUAAACCCCUUUUCUUGGGGAAGAGCAAGGACGGUACCCAGGGAAUAAGUCCCGGCUAACUACGUGCCAGCAGCCGCGGUAAGACGUAGGGGACGAGCGUUGCCCGGAUUUACUGGGCGUAAAGGGCGUGUAGGCGGCGGAGUAUGUCCCGUGUGAAAUUGAAGGGCUCAACCCUUCAACGCCGCGGGAAACUGCUUCGCUUGAGGGCAGUAGAGGCGGGUGGAAUUCCCGGUGGAGCGGUGAUAUGCGUAGAGAUCGGGAGGAACACCAGUGGCGAAAGCGGCCCGCUGGGCUGUCCCUGACGCUGAGGCGCGAAA
rnacentral:rRNA from 1 species